rnacentral:lncRNA from 1 species
GAGAAGAUCAGCUCUGAUCCGUCUCCCUGCACUUCACACAGAACCCGGAAGUGCAGGUAGGCGGAAGGUGAGACAGCCUGUCAGAGCGAGCACUGCUGCUGGGGCAGCGAGGUCGGGUGCUCCCGGUCUGCCUCUAAUACAGAGGCAGAUUGAAGCACCGUUAACCCCGCGAUCACGGCGAUCUGGGGUUAAUUUUACCGCGUGACUGACGAGGUCCGUCACCCGUCGUUAAGGGUCUCACCUGGAUGACAGACCUCGUCCGUCACCCGUCCUUAGGGGUUUAAAUCUGGCACUUCUGAACCUUGAUCAACAGUCUUGGCUAUCAGAGUAAUUACUUCUUUGCAUUUGAAGUGCUUGCUGUAUCUCAAAAUCUUUUACAUGUAAAUGCCAUUGAUCUCCAUCUAAGACAGCCUCCUUUGCUAACAAAUUCACUUGUACAUAAGUGUUUACCUUUACAACUGCUGACUGGAGGGGGUGCUUUGAUCCCACUCCAACCAGUUUCCCAAGAUUCCAUAGGGACAGAUAGUUUGAUCCGGUGGCAUAAGCAAUGUCACUAUGGGUACAAAUAGGGCGUGUGUCAAAUUCCUUUGAAAAAUGUAAUAGCCCCAAAAACUUUUUCAAGGAUUGCUUGUUAAAAGGUCUGGGGACUUGUAAGACUGCUAUCACUCUUUCUUUCAUUAGGCAGCUGUGAUAGCUACUCCCAGCCUUCGAAGUGUUUAGCUUGAAUCCAGCAUUUUGAAAUCAAGCCAAACAAUUCCCUUAACAAGCCCAUAUGUUGUUUUGUCUCUGUUUGCAAGAUAUAAUAAACAUAUUGCAUUAUACUGGAAGGAGAAGAGAAUGCUUCUGAAUCCAUUGCUAAGGUCUUGUGGAAAUAUAUUGGAGAGCUAUGAAAGCCUUGAGGUAGCGUUGCAUCUAGGAAAACAGGCUUUCUCACUCUCAUAUUUCCACAAAACAUUAUGAUAGAGGUCUAUCAGUAUCCCUUCUGUUCUCAUUACAUUUGCACCCAGCAUAUUACCUUCAGUAUUCUUACUUUGCCAUAUGGGAAUUUUCUUAUUCCACUGAGCACUUAAAAUCAAAGUCGCUUGUGACGUGAGAAAAGCCUGGGACUGGGAUCCCCCAAGUCCUGCAAGAAAUGUUUGUUUUGACCCAGAAGGGGGACUUAGUGGUAGGUCAGUAAAUUUUACUGAAGCUCCUGUAUCAGUAAGAAUCUUAGUCUGUUGUCUUGCCAUAAUUCCAUUCACGUAAUUGGUGAAUGGUCCAUAAAUGUGUUACAUGUCAUCCAGUGAUAGUCAUUCCAAAAAUGAAAUCAGAGAAACUUCACCCUCUUGAUUCAUUUUAGAGCUGCUAGUCACUGCUCCCUGUACAGAAAGAGACCGACCACACAGCCUGAUUUUAUGUAACUCUUUUGGGCAGAAGCCUCGUGUGCAGUUGGUCCAAAUAUAACCUCCGUGGAAAUCCCGAACCGAUCUGGGUGAUUUUUGGAUAUGUUGGUCACCCAGAUCGGGGCUAUUGUGGGAUUUCCAUGAGUUUUGGGGGUACUUUCAGGAUACUGUAAAAAUGUAUGUUUUGUGUGCCUGGAGAUAAUUGAGUUUAGUACAGUUCCUGACUCAAUUAUCUCUCAGGCACAGGGGAGAGAUUACCCUGUGUGAUCCUGUAUUGCAAUUAGCACGGUCCUCUAGGGUAUAAACAUGCGCUGUCUUUUGAUCUAAUAUAAAUCCAGGCACUUUAUUGUUGUAAUUCACUCAGGAGACAGCAGCAAAUGAAAGAAAUAAUAAUGUAACAGAAAUCCCUGCAAACAAAAUCCUAGCCCAUCUCUAGCGAGAAUUAAACUUCAACAAAAUACCGGUUUCACCAACCUUGUUUAUUAGCAACUCUCUGCACUGACCCAGUGACCUCGACUGCUAUCCUUCUGCACCCCAGCGCUCAGUCACCUUAACUGCCAACUUCUGCACCCCAGCGCUCAGUCACCUUAACUGCCAACUUCUACACCCCAGCUCUCAGUCACUUUGACUGCUAUCCUUCUGCACCCCAGCGCUCCGUCACCUCGACUGCUAUCCUUCUGCACCCCGACUGCUCUC